CCUGAUCGAGCAAUGCCGCGUGUGCGAAGAAGGCCUUCGGGUUGUAAAGCUCUUUUGUCGGGGAAGAAAUCCUUUGGGCUAAUACCCUAUGGGGAUGACGGUACCUGACCAAUAAGCACCGGCUAUCUACGUGCCAGCAGCCGCGGUAAUA
rnacentral:rRNA from 1 species